rnacentral:misc_RNA from 1 species
UCCGGUUUGUCACCGGCAGUCUGGUGUGAGUCCCCAACUUAAUGCUGGCAACACACCACGGGGGUUGCGCUCGUUGCGGGACUUAACCCAACAUCUCACGACACGAGCUGACGACAGCCAUGCAGCAUCUGUGGUGCACCCUCGAAGGUCACACGUUUCCGUGCGCUUGCAGCACCAUGUCAAGCCCAGGUAAGGUGGGGAUGACGUUCGUCUGAC